rnacentral:rRNA from 1 species
UACGGAGGGUGCAAGCAUUAAUCGGAUUUACUGGGCGUAAAGGGUGCGUAGGCGGACGGAUAAGUCAGAUGUGAAAUCCCGAGACUCAAUCUCGGAAUGGCAUUUGAAACUGCCUGUCUUGAGGGUAGACGGAGAGAACGGAAUUCCACGUGUAGCGGUGAAAUGCGUAGAUAUGUGGAAGAACACCGGUGGCGAAAGCGGUUCUCUAGUUUAUUUCUGACGCUGAGGCACGAGAGCAUGGGGAGCAAACAGG